rnacentral:lncRNA from 1 species
GUUCGGGAAGCCCCAGCUGCUGGUCCUGGUGAGGGAGGGGGGCGUUUAUCCUGAGGGAAGGAACCAACCUGCCACAUCAGGACCAGGCCACUUGGAGACAGAUGAGAACAAAGCCGGAGACAUGGGCAGUGCAGGAAUCUGUCCUGAGCAAGGGAUCAGGGGUCCAGGCAAAGAUAAUACCCAAGAUAUUCAUCACAGUGGUUGCCUGCACCCUCCCUGAUAAACAUUAAAGUCAUCCUUCUCAAAGCUGGACAUGUGUCCUGACCCUGCCAUCCUGCAGGGCAGCUGACUCUGUGGAGGCUCCACUGAGCACCAGGCC